rnacentral:rRNA from 1 species
UACGGGGGGUGCAAGCGUUACUCGGAAUCACUGGGCGUAAAGAGCAUGUAGGCGGAUUGAUAAGUUUGAAGUGAAAUCCUAUAGCUUAACUAUAGAACUGCUUUGAAAACUGUUAAUCUAGAAUGUGGGAGAGGUAGAUGGAAUUUCUGGUGUAGGGGUAAAAUCCGUAGAGAUCAGAAGGAAUACCGAUUGCGAAGGCGAUCUACUGGAACAUUAUUGACGCUGAGAUGCGAAAGCGUGGGGAGCAAACA